rnacentral:misc_RNA from 1 species
CAUCAAUCAAUCAAUCGAAUUGUUGAUAAAUAAAGCGAACGCAAAUCAAAAAAAAAAAAAAAACUAAAAACAAUAAAAUAAGAAAAUCGAACGCUUGUGAAGUACUGCAAAUAGCAUUAUUUAAUGCAACAACCACAAGUGCCCUAAACAAAAAGCGUCAACCGCCCCCAAGUAAAGCGCAAAAAGCCACACGAACUAUAGCGUGAGGGACUUUGAACGGUUGCGACUCUGGUGGUGGAUUUCUGUGGGGUGGGUGGCAGAAACGCGUUUAAUCGCGUCGUUGUCAAAGGCCCUGGCGGCAAAAUAAUGUACAAAUUGACUGUGAAAUGUGCAAAAGCGAAAAAAGCUCAAAAGUUACGCAAAAAAUGCAGCAGCGCCGCAGUCGCCGAGGCAAAUGCAGCAUCGAGCAGAAUGUGAAACGGAAACGAGCAAACGACCAGUGCUAAUAAUGCAAAGGAUCUAAGGAUGCGUCCGAGAGCCAUUGACCACCGAACCAGCAAUUUGUCAUUAAAGCCUAGGUCAACAGCAACUGCAACAACUGCCGCUGCAACUGCAACUGCAACAGCAAUUACGUUUGCAACAUAGCCCCAAAAGCCUCGCCAACUGCACCUGCUAAUAACGCUGUCACCCGCCGGCAAACUCCCGACGCCGCCCGUAAUCCACGUCACUGUUGUUGUUGUUGUUGUGUUUGUUGUUGCUGCUGCUGUUUGUGAUUUCAGUUUUGAUAACUAAACUCUAAAGUUUGUGCGGCUUAGGCAACGUCGAACAGCAUCCAGGCACCCGGUCAUCCAGGCAGCAUCCAGGCAGCAUCCUUCAGCACCAGUUGACAGGCAACGCAGUUCAGCACCCCAUAUACGAGCAACGAAUAAAUCGAACUUGCAUUUUUUAUACAACGCUAAUGAAUUUUUGUAAAAUUAAGUUGAUUAAACGGUCACGCCCCUUGGCGCAUUUCUCGAGACUUCAGCCAGGGCCACAAAUGCCCCAACUGUAGCAGCAGAAGAACGGCUUUCCCAUAAGGAUCCCCACUCAUAAAUGCAGUGGAAGAAGAAGUUUACUCGAUUGAAAGCAGCUACUGGAAAUUCGCGUGUGCGAAGAAUGCUUUGUUGUGGACGUAGAAAGGAAAAUGGAAGAUCAGUUCCUGAUGUUACCGCCAGUCCGGGCCGUGCACCGCCCGGCCCGCUGCCCGCCAAUCAGCAGCCCGGCAUGGGCAACCAACAGCAGCAGCACCACCAUGCCAACCAGCAGCAGCAGCAGCAGCAGCAGCAACAGCAUCAUGGUAACCAGCAACAGAACCGCGGCCAGAGCGGCAAUACAAACGGCUCUGGCGGCGUUAAGGAUCCGGUGCUGCUCCAAGGUGACUUUCGCAAGGUCAGCGGGAUCAGUUCGGAGAUUUUUCGACAGAUAGAAGCUGUCGAGAACGAUCAUGAUCCGAAUACCGCUGCAGCGCUGGAGGCAGUGGAGCGGCGCGGAGAGAUGAUUGUGCGCAUCUUGGAGCCACGCUCCAUGGGCAGUAAACAGGCUGUGGAUGCGGCACAUAAGCUGAUGAACAAAGCCGAUGGCCGGCACACCGUGCAACUGGUGGAGAUUGUGAAGCGGCCCGGCCAAACACUCGGCCUGUAUAUACGUGAAGGCAACGGCGCCGAUCGCACCGAUGGCGUCUUCAUAUCCCGCAUAGCCCUGGAGUCGGCAGUCUACAACAGCGGCUGCUUAAGGGUGGGCGACGAAAUCCUGGCCGUCAAUUUGGUUGAUGUCACACAUAUGUCGCUCGAUGAUGUCGUCAUCAUCAUGUCAAUUCCUCGGCGUCUGGUGCUGGCCAUACGGCAGAGGCGUGGUAACCGUGGAGCCGGUUCACCGGGUCCGCCAACACUGUCGCGACCAGAACAGAAGCCGCCGCCGGUGGUGGUUAUCAAGCGUGAUCUCAGAGACGAGGACCUGGACGAAACGGAUCGAAUGCCGCGCCCGCGUUCAUCACGUGAAAGACGUACAGGUAGCGAUGGUCGCGAGAUGACCGAGUCGCGCUCCAGACUGGGUCUGGGCCUUAACAACUACAGCCCUCAGUCAGAGCAGCUGGACAUGUACUACAAUACACGGGCUGGCGUUAACGCAAUGGGCGAACCCCCGAACUGGGGCUACAAAGCACCGCCGCCACCAUCCUCGGUCAUUACGGAGCAGCCCACCAAGGGGCAUGCCUUUGCGCCUUCACAUGCUUACUAUCAGAACGCUGGCACACUGGAAAGCCUGGCCGAAAAGGUGCACGCUUUCUACCCAGGCGCACCUGGCCAACCGCUAGGUCCCUCGCGACGCAUGUCCACGGGCACAGGAAAUGUGGGUUUGGCUCAGCAACAUGCACGUUUUCCGCGCUCUGGUUCAGAUCAGCAUUUGCCGCGAGUCGAAUACGCGGAUUACUCCAACUCUUUAGGCCGCCACUCCCUGCUGCGUUCCAGCUUGAAACCCGGUACAGGCGCCCCAAUGCCCGUGGGCGUUGGAGGCACUCUGGGUCGCUAUGGGCGUUAUGAGCAGCAACGCGGUGGAGUUCCAAAGUAUGGGCCUCCGGCAGCCGGUCCGCAGUCACUGACCCGCCGCUCGCGGCCCAAUCUGGACUACUCCAGCGAUACCGAAGCCACCAUUGGGCCUCGUCCUAGUUACUAUUACUAUAACCGACCCGCCAUAGGCAGUAUGCCACGCGGCGCUGGAGGCGUGGGUAGUGGAGCAGCUGCAGCGGCAGCUGCAAUGUUGGCCGGCACCGCAGAUCUAAAUAAAUUCAACUCACUGCCCAGGGAGCGACCGGGCGUUAGGUUACAGGGCAUACGUGCGCGCAUAGGAGACCGCAUUCUGGAUGAGAACGAUGGCAAUAUUUCGGCACCCGAGUAUGAUGCGCGGCGCGGCCGCGAUCUGCGCCAACGCAUUUCUGCUAGCCCUGGCCCCUCUAUCUUUACGGCGGACGAGUAUCGUGCGUGGCUACGGCGCGCGCCCAGUAGCUCUGCGAUUGCGGAGCAAAUGCGUAUGACUAGGGAUAUGUUCGCCCAGCCGCGCUCACAUCGCUUCUCCUGCAGUGCGGAAAACAUUCACGAUGCCCUGCGGAACACCGAGAGCAUUUACUCGAGCAGAACGGGCAUACUCGGUGCUGGCACGCUGGAUCGUAAUCUGGGCCUCACUCGACCCAUCUCUGCACUGCCUGUACGGUCCAUGUCCUCGCAGCACAUAGGCGGUGCUGGUUCCAUACGCUCGCCCAGUAUACGACGCAUGCGUCAGCUGCUGGAACUUUCUGCUGGUCCAGCCAGUCCUAGUGGCAGUAUUAUGAGUACAGCCGGUCAUCAGAGUCCCGCGCCCACGCCCAGCGCAACAUUGCCGCGUGCUCAUCGCCAGAUUGACAUUAAUCCGGCAGAGUUUGCCAAGUACAAGCUGGACAAGCCUAUUGUGGACAUUGGCGGCGUCUCGGGCAUGCUGUGGAUACAUCUGCUGGCCGGCCGCGGAUUGCGGACAGUACCAGAACAGGGUGCACAGCAUGCACCUGGUGGGGCACCACUCCCACAGACUAGAGAUCUUUACUGCGUAAUCGAGUGUGAUCGCGUGCAUAAGGCGCGUACAGUGGUGCGUUCGGGAGAUUUGCAAUUCGAUUGGGAUGAGUCAUUUGAACUAGAUCUGGUGGGCAACAAGCAGCUGGACGUGCUCGUCUAUUCCUGGGAUCCACAGCACAGGCACAAGCUGUGCUAUCGCGGCGCCAUAUCGCUGUCGGCGGUGCUGCGGCAAUCGCCACUGCAUCAGCUGGCGCUUAAAGUGGAGCCUCGCGGCACUGUCUACAUACGCAUGCGGCAUACAGAUCCUCUCGCACUGUACAAGCGUCGCGGGCUGCCCAGUUUGCGUGCCGGUUAUCCGACACUUUUCGGUGCCGAUCUGGAGACGGUGGUCAACAGGGAGUCAAAGAAUGCGCCCGGCUGUGCGCCAGUGCCAAUUGUGCUGCGACGUUGCGUUGAGGAGGUGGAGCGGCGAGGCCUCGAUAUAAUCGGGUUGUAUCGCCUGUGCGGAUCGGCAACGAAGAAGCGUCUGCUGCGCGAGGCCUUCGAGCGCAAUAGCCGAGCUGUGGAAUUGAGCCCGGAACACGUUCCUGAUAUUAAUGUUAUUACCGGCGUACUCAAGGAUUACCUCAGGGAGCUGCCGGAGCCAUUGUUUACACGCUGUCUCUUCCAGAUGACAGUCGAUGCCUUGGCUGUCUGUCUGCCAGAUGAUCCUGAGGGCAAUGCGAAACUGAUGCUUAGCAUACUCGACUGUUUGCCCAGAGCGAAUAGGGCUACCUUGGUAUUCCUGCUUGACCAUCUUUCGCUGGUUGUGUCAAAUGCGGAGCGCAAUAAAAUGUCUGCUCAGGCGCUGGCCACUGUGAUGGGUCCUCCGCUGAUGCUGCACUCGGCCAGUGCGCAGCCUGGCGCUGAUAUUGAUCAUGCUCAGCCGAUUGCGGUACUCAAGUAUCUACUGCAGAUCUGGCCUCAGCCACAAACGCAGCAGACGCAGCAUCAGCAGCUGGCUCAGCACAUGGGCGGCAUGGCCGCUGCCAGCAGCAUGAGCAAUAUGGCGGGUGUUGCUUCAGACAGGUCGGCGCGGCGAGUCAACAGGGCAGCGUGGAAGCAAAGUCAGUGCGUUGCCAGUGGACAGACAGCAAAUACUACUGCAGCAGCAGCAGCAGCUCAUGGCGGCGGGCAACCUACUGCGCUCGUCCACUUCGGUAACCAACAUACUCUCCCAAGGCCAUCAUCAGCUCUCAGCCACAGCCAACAAUCAUCUGUAUCAAUCAGUAGUGGGUCAGUUAGCUCAAUCGCAUCGAGCCUUGCAACAAGCGGUGCAACAGCCCUUUCAAUUGGCGGGCUCAGCGGUCUCGGCAAUUCCCGACCAAUCGCCACUGCCACUUCCAGGCACACCCUCCCCAGGCAGUAGCUCAGCCUCGACGGGCUCCGGCUCGGGGUCGGGCUCGGGUUCGGGCAAGAGCACUGAUACCAUCAAGCGCGGUGCUUCGCCCGCUUCCAUCAAGCAAGUGAAAAUUGUUGACACGCCCAGCCCGUACUCGGUUGUACAG